CAGAUGGAUGGAGGCUUACGUCGAACUGUCCAAUUUCUUCAAGAAAGAAAUUUUAAUGUUGUUAUCCGUGAUGAGCAUGACCUUAAUGUCAUCCGUGUUCGAGAGGCAAAGGAAAAGGAAAUUGCCAAGGCAUUGUUGAAGAAAAACGAAAAGACCACCGUUUCGGGAAAGGGAAAGGAAAAUGCAUGUCCAGUAGUAUGGCUCUUCAACAUUUCCAUUUAAAGUUCUUUUUUUGAAAUAUUUAUUUUGGACCAUGAACCUCGAUUAUUUAUUUAUUUAUUUUUAAAUGUAAAAUUGGCAUACUACUUGCACAGUGACAUAUAUUGUUUUUAUAGUAAACAGUUUCAUGUAAAUUUGUGAAAUAUUUUUUUUGAAGCAUGCUAAAAUAGCAUU